rnacentral:rRNA from 1 species
UACGUAGGGUGCAAGCGUUAAUCGGAAUUACUGGGCGUAAAGCGUGCGCAGGCGGUUUUGUAAGUCUGACGUGAAAUCCCCGGGCUCAACCUGGGAAUUGCGUUGGAGACUGCAAGGUUAGAAUCUGGCAGAGGGGGGUAGAAUUCCACGUGUAGCAGUGAAAUGCGUAGAGAUGUGGAGGAACACCGAUGGCGAAGGCAGCCCCCUGGGUCAAGAUUGACGCUCAUGCACGAAAGCGUGGGGAGCAAACAGG